rnacentral:rRNA from 1 species
GACGAACGCUGGCGGCGUGCUUAACACAUGCAAGUCGAACGGAAAGGCCCUGCUUGCAGGGUACUCGAGUGGCGAACGGGUGAGUAACACGUGGGUGAUCUGCCCUGCACUUCGGGAUAAGCCUGGGAAACUGGGUCUAAUACCGGAUAGGAGCCAUUUUUAGUGUGAUGGUUGGAAAGUUUUUUCGGUGUAGGAUGAGCUCGCGGCCUAUCAGCUUGUUGGUGGGGUAAUGGCCUACCAAGGCGGCGACGGGUAGCCGGCCUGAGAGGGUGGACGGCCACAGUGGGACUGAGAGACGGCCCAGACUCCUACGGGAGGCAGCAGUGGGGAAUAUUGCACAAUGGGCGCAAGCCUGAUGCAGCGACGCCGCGGGGGGGAUGACGGCCUUCGGGUUGUAAACGCCUUUCGCUAGGGACGAAGCUUUUUGUGACGGUACCUAGAUAAGAAGCACCGGCUAACUACGUG